rnacentral:lncRNA from 10 species
CAGGGAAGCUGAUUUGAGUAAUAAUAGAACUCCAGUCUCUUGUUUAGCUAUAUAUGUGUAAAAUAUUUUAUUGCAUUUCCCCUGCCUUGAUAAUUUGGGUCUAUCUGGGCAGCAGGCAAGAAGAAUCCACUGAGCAGUUGCAUUUACCCUAUCAAAAAAUAAUACCACUAUCUAAUAUUGAUUGAAUGACCAUCCUUUACCAGGUAGUUUAUUACAUGCACUAGCUAAUUUAACUUUCACAAGAAUGUUAUCAGACGAGCAAUUUUUAUUAUCUCAUUUUUCAGAUGAAGAAACUGAGGCGCAGAAGAAUUGUCUCUUGUCCAAACUCAUGCAGCUGCUAGGAGGUAUCUGUAGGACCUGAGCCUUCCACCCAUGUGUCUUCCACCAAUAUCCACAUUAAAAGGAUGAAGCAUGAGCUAGCUUUUGCUUCCUACCAAAAGGAUUAAAUAAACCCAAAGUGGACCAUUUGGAGGCAUACAUGUUGUCUCCAGUGUGGAAUGAGAGAACUUUAGAAACCAGAGGUAAGAACAUCACAAAAUAACAGAUGACUCUGCUUACUCCAAUAUGUGCCAAGAAGCAAAAAUGCCCAAGUGAACAAUCUUAUUUAGUAAGAUACUGAAAGGAGAUUCACCGUUCGAUUAAUGCAGCAUGGAUUUGUAAAUACCCAGUUUACGCUCUUCUUUGGUCACUAUCAAGUAAGAAUGACAUCACUCUUCACUUUGAACAAUUGGGGGAUAUUUGGUUCACAGCUUUUAGACAAACCAGUAUCUUUCCCUGAG